GCUGAGGUAGUGUAGUGGUCAGCACGUGGGAUUUUGAUUAGAGCUGUCUACCUCUGGUCAGACGGUUUCAGAACAAAACUUCCCGAGUCCCCGGUUCGAACCCGGGCCACAGCU